rnacentral:rRNA from 1 species
GACGAACGCUGGCGGCGUGCUUAACACAUGCAAGUCGAACGGAAAGGCCCUGCUUUUGUGGGGUGCUCGAGUGGCGAACGGGUGAGUAACACGUGAGUAACCUGCCCUUGACUUUGGGAUAACUUCAGGAAACUGGGGCUAAUACCGGAUAGGAGCUCCUGCUGCAUGGUGGGGGUUGGAAAGUUUCGGCGGUUGGGGAUGGACUCGCGGCUUAUCAGCUUGUUGGUGGGGUAGUGGCUUACCAAGGCUUUGACGGGUAGCCGGCCUGAGAGGGUGACCGGCCACAUUGGGACUGAGAUACGGCCCAGACUCCUACGGGAGGCAGCAGUGGGGAAUAUUGCACAAUGGGCGGAAGCCUGAUCCAGCAACGCCGCGUGCGGGAUGACGGCCUUCGGGUUGUAAACCGCUUUCGCCUGUGACGAAGCGUGAGUGACGGUAAUGGGUAAAGAAGCACCGGCUAACUACGUG